rnacentral:rRNA from 1 species
GGAAUCUUGCGCAAUGGGCGAAAGCCUGACGCAGCAACGCCGCGUGCGGGAAGAAGGCCUUCGGGCUGUAAACCGCUUUCAGCAGGGACGAAACUGACGGUACCUGUAGAAGAAGGAGCGGCCAACUAUGUGCCAGCAGCCGCGGUGACACAUAGGCUCCAAGCGUUGUCCGGAUUCAUUGGGCGUAAAGAGCUCGUAGGCGGUCGUGUAAGUCGGGUGUGAAAACUCUGGGCUCAACCCAGAGACGCCACCCGAUACUGCUCUGACUCGAGUUCGGCAGGGGAGUGGGGAAUUCCUCGUGUAGCGGUGAAAUGCGCAGAUAUGAGGAGGAACACCGGUGGCGAAGGCGCCACUCUGGGCCGAUACUGACGCUGAGGAGCGAAAGCACGGGUAGCAAACAGGAUUAGAUACCCUGGUAGUCCGUGCCGUAAACGGUGGGCACUAGGUGUGGGAUUCAACUAACGGAUUCCGCGCCGUCGCUAACGCAUUAAGUGCCCCGCCUGGGGAGUACGGUCGCAAGACUAAAACUCAAAGGAAUUGACGG